AGUUUGAUCCUGGCUCAGAAUCAACGCUGGCGGCGUGCCUCAGACAUGCAAGUCGAACGAUUAAAGCUCUCUUCGGAGAGUGUAUAGAGUGGCGCACGGGUGAGUAACACGUAAGUAAUCUACCUCGGGGUGGGGAAUAACAUCGGGAAACCGAUGCUAAUACCGCAUAAUGCAGCGGCUUCUUAUGAAGACAGUUGUUAAAGCAUUUAUGUGCCUGGAGAGGAGCUUGCGGCAGAUUAGCUAGUUGGUAAGGUAAUGGCUUACCAAGGCAACGAUCUGUAGCCGACCUGAGAGGGUGGUCGGUCACACUGACACUGAAUAACGGGUCAGACUCCUACGGGAGGCAGCAGUCGGGAAUUUUGGGCAAUGGGCGAAAGCCUGACCCAGCAACGCCGCGUGAAGGAUGAAGUUUUUCGGAAUGUAAACUUCGUAAAAAUAGGAAGAAUAAAUGACGGUACUAUUUGUAAGGUCCGGCUAACUACGUGCCAGCAGCCGCGGUAAUACGUAGGGACCAAGCGUUGUUCGGAUUUACUGGGCGUAAAGGGCGCGUAGGCGGCGUAACAAGUCACUUGUGAAAUCUCCGGGCUUAACUCGGAACGGUCAAGUGAUACUGUUAUGCUAGAGUACAGAAGGGGCAAUCCGGAAUUCUUGGUGUAGCGGUGAAAUGCGUAGAUAUCAAAGAGGAACACCAGAGGCGAAGGCGGAUUUGCUGGGCUGAUACUGACGCUGAGGCGCGAAAGCUAGGGGUAGCAAAC
rnacentral:rRNA from 1 species